GACGAACGCUGGCGGCGUGCCUAAUACAUGCAAGUCGAACGCAGUGGGGACGGGUGAGUAACACGUGGGUAACCUCCCAUCAGAGGGGAGAACACUUGGAAACAGGUGCUAAACCGAUACUGAUGGAUGGACCCGCGGUGCUUUAGCUAGUUGGUGAGGUAACGGCUCAGCAAGGCCACGAAGCAUAGCUGACUAGAGCGGGUGAGCAGCAACAUUGGAACUGAGACACGGCCCAGACUCCGACGGGAGUCAGCAGUAGGAAAUAUUGGGCUAUGGAGGAAAGUCGGACCGAGCAACGCCGCGUGAGUGAAGAGGGUUUGCGGAUCGUAAAACUCUGUUGUUAUAGAAGCGGUAUCUAACCAGAAAGACACGGCUAACUACGUGCCAGCAGCCGCGGUAAUAC
rnacentral:rRNA from 1 species